GGACAUUUGAGUGACGUUGAGUCAUUUCAACCUAAUGAACUGAUUGGAAGCUGACUCGCCCCGAGACCUGCUCUCUUCCCAUGCGCCUGUUGGGUAACCACCAGAGAAGACUGCUCAGGCAUGAAUGGACACAAGAACCUGGAAGUCUCGGUACAUGCUGACUGGACCCUAGUGUUUGUCGUGUCAGUAAGACUUGAGGAAAACACUUUGAAGCUGUGUCAUUGAAAUGCACAUUGGCGAGAACAAGCGUCCUGCUGUUGGCAAGAGGAGAGAGCAGUCAACAGAACGCUGAAGAUUCCGAGGCUGGUUCCCAUGAUGCCAUCUGACCACUUGCACCCCAGUCCUCGCUAUCCCUCCAGGGCAUCUUAUCGCAGCCUUGAUGGAGUCUGCACCUUGGCUGCAAAGGGAACACAAACUUCCUCAAGCAACGCAGUGCUGCAGACACAAGAGCCGCUUUCGCUCCAGAUGGGAUCCAAGGCAACUGCUGUGUAGAAACUUCCCUUGGCUUCACUGGUCUUUUCUUUUCUUCUUAUUUUUCCCCCUCCCUCUGUUUCUGCCAAGUUGUUGAUGUCCUGGCUGUCUGGAAAAGACUGCAUUUGAGCAACCAGAGACAACCAGCCUCUUAAGAACGACUACAGCAAGGAAUCUCGUUCUUAGAAAAUUAGUUUGUGCUGCUGUGUUGAUCCUACUGAAAGAAGGGGUGAGGGGAAGACCCUCAAGGCUAAUUUAUAUAAACACACAG
rnacentral:lncRNA from 1 species